rnacentral:rRNA from 1 species
GUUAGGAAUAUUGGACAAUGGGCGAAAGCCUGAUCCAGCCAUGCCGCGUGAACGAUGAAGGCCUUCGGGUUGUAAAGUUCUUUAGCCGAUGAUUAUAAUGACUGUAGUCGGAAAAUAAGCCCCGGCUAACUUCGUGCCAGCAGCCGCGGUAAUACGAAGGGGGCGAGCGUUAUUCGGAAUCACUGGGCGUAAAGCGUGCGUAGGCGGUUUUGUAAGUUAGGAGUGAAAGCCCAGGGCUCAACCUUGGAAUUGCUCUUAAAACUGCAAGGCUCGAAUCUCGGAGAGGAUAGCGGAAUUUCCAGUGUAGCAGUGAAAUGCGUAGAUAUUGGAAGGAACACCAGUGGCGUAAGCGGCUAUCUGGACGAGUAUUGACGCUGAGGCACGAAAGCGUGGGGAUCAAACAGGAUUAGAAACCCUUGGUAGUAC